GGCGCAAUAGAGAUACGUUGACUUACGCGCGUUUCAGAAGCUAUAAAUAAAGAUGCCUUGGCGGUUGCUCGCUCUUUUCGAGAAAGGACGCCGUCGUCGUUUGGGCUUGCGGUUGCUCAGGAAUCCAGAUAAUUGGAUGUGGGGAUCGAAGAGGAGCCUCACCUAACAUGGGCAGUUGACACCUUGGGGUACUUUACUUGGCAGGGAGAGUUGGAAAAGUGGGUGACAGAUGCUCUUUUUGUGAGUUAAGUGUGGAGGUUUAGAGUCUUGAGCACAUAGGACUCCUAUUUAAAACUACCCUUUGGAGAAAAUUGAGGAACAGUAGGGAUUUUAAGUUUGAGAGAGCAAGUGUGUGGGAAGGAUGGAUAGAGAAUCCCAAACAGGCUCCACCCCUGUCCACACAGCCUCAACUGAGAUCAUGACCUGAGCGGAAAUCAAGAGUCUGAGGCACCCUGAUACGUGUGUUUCUGAUGUAUUUAUGGAUUACAAUAAAGGUGACUAAUCUGCAUA